rnacentral:rRNA from 1 species
CCUACGGGGGGCAGCAGUCGGGAAUUUUGGGCAAUGGGCGAAAGCCUGACCCAGCAACGCCGCGUGAAGGAUGAAGUAUUUCGGUAUGUAAACUUCGAAAGAAUAGGAAGAAUAAAUGACGGUACUAUUUAUAAGGUCCGGCUAACUACGUGCCAGCAGCCGCGGUAAUACGUAGGGACCAAGCGUUGUUCGGAUUUACUGGGCGUAAAGGGCGCGUAGGCGGCUUUGUAAGUCACUUGUGAAAUCUCUGAGCUUAACUCAGAACGGCCAAGUGAUACUGCAAUGCUAGAGUGCAGAAGGGGCAAUCGGAAUUCUUGGUGUAGCGGUGAAAUGCGUAGAUAUCAAGAGGAACACCUGAGGUGAAGACGGGUUGCUGGGCUGACACUGACGCUGAGGCGCGAAAGCCAGGGGAGCAAACGGGGAUUAGAUACCCCGGUAGUCCUGGCCCUAAACGAUGAAUACUUGGUGUCUGGAGUAAUUUGUGCUCCGGGUGCCGUCGCUAACGUUUUUAGUAUUCCGCCUGGGGAUACGCUCGCAAGNGUGAAACUCAAAUGAAUUGACCGGCGUGAGACGUGCCGACGGACGACGACGAGGGAGGUAGG